rnacentral:lncRNA from 1 species
CUAAAGGUACCUGGCAUCACUAUGAGAAAAAUAAGCAAAAUAUCUAAAGAAAAAAAAUACAUGUUAUUAUUACCUAUUACUACGAUAGCUGAAAUCAUACUAGCCGCGCUAUUAGCGUGGGCCGCCUUGCUAGUUGAAUACCCUUGACUGUAAGUAGGCCCGCCCCUGUAUAAUAGAAUUCAAAAACAUUUGUGACGGUAACAAGAUGCUUGAGUACAUGUAGCUCUAGCUGAUAAAUGUGACAAUAAUACUAGACCACGUACAACAGACCAAAAAACACAGAAACACCAGCUCAUUCAGAGCACACUAUAGGUGAACCGUUCAAAAAUAAAAUAACACACAGAUAAACAGGAGGUGCUUAAUGUAACGAGACAUACGGUAGGUCAUCAUCAGCUCAGCAAGAGCCGGCUUGGCCGUGCCAGUUGCCAACAGAAUGACAGAAUUGGUUGGCCAUGUUGCAUUGAGAGCGUCAGCUCUUCAAUUCCUCCUCUUCCUAGCGCAGCUAGCUAGUAGUGAUGCUGCGGGUCCGGGCCGCCGGGCACGCUCCUCUUUUCUCCGCCGAGCACCCUUCCCCUGUUCCACUUCGAC